AAGCACGACUCUGACGAUGAACGUCUGUAUUUUGAAGAGCGACUUGAUCCAGCUGAAGAUACAGUUUCUGAUGAAAAUGUGGAUCCAUCACUCUCGCAUUCACCUGCAAUUCUCACUAAGAGGGCACGCAGCAACACAGGCGAUAAUGAGAAAGAGAAUGUGGAUCCAUCACUCUCACAUUCACCUGCAAUUCCCACUAGGAGGGCACCCAGCAACACAGGCGGAAAUGAGAAAGAGUAAGUACAUGUUCACCCACUAUAUGGUAGGCCUAUGUACACUACCGUUCAAUAGUUUGAAAUCGGUAUGAUUUUUC